rnacentral:lncRNA from 1 species
UUACAUGAUACUUUUUACCACAUGGUGGAAUGACGUGGAGGAGCAUUACUAGUACUUUCACUCUGGCUAUCAUCUUGUGUAGCUCCUUGCCUAAAGACAUAACCAAAAAAUCCACCACUUGAUUGUUCAUAAUAAGGAUCUUGGUAAUUCAUUGCUUGUUGGUAGUUGGAAGGAGCUUGAUCACUUGCAUAUUGGUUAUAUGAGUUGAAAUAAGGAUAUUGAU